GCCUCUUGACUUAACCAUAAGAGGUCCAGCCUGCCCAGUGACAUUGUUCAACGGCCGCGGUAUUCUAACCGUGCGAAGGUAGCGUAAUCACUUGUCCUUUAAAUGAGGACUAGUAUGAACGGCCACACGAAAGCUAUGCUGUCUCCUUUUUCUAAUCAGUUAAACUAAUCUCCCCGUGAAGAAGCGGGGAUGAUUAUAUAAGACGAGAAGACCCUAUGGAGCUUUAAACAAUUGAAACACUUGUACCCAUCUUCCACACUUCCGACAGCCUACGCUUAAUUUUACACUUUGUUUCUAGCUUUAGGUUGGGGUGACCACGGAGAAAAAACAAACCUCCACGCUGAAAGAGUUAAUCUCUAAACAAAAAGCUACAUCUUUAAGUAUUAAUACAUUAACCUGAAUUGACCCAAUAAAUUGAUCAACGAACCAAG
rnacentral:rRNA from 1 species